UCCAAAUUUAGCCCAAAAAUAGAUGUGAAAUAACAGUGAAAUUCUGCGUGACUUCCACGUGCUGUAAUGUGCGCGCGCGCAGAACUGGAGCGGAGGACGUCACCAUGGAAACGAGGCGGCAGCCCAACCGUCAAGCAGCUGAUCGCUGACACUCAAUGUGGUUUCACUUUUUUUUUUAGAAAUGGUUUAGCGUCGUCAGAAAAAGUCCGUUAGCAUCUCAAAGAAGUGCCAGAAAAAAACCUGUAUGACGCAGGAGAAGUUCCUGAUUUUAACAUUUCUGAAGGGAGCUGCUGACAGAGAGGAUGAAAACAUACACAUUUUGAUGUCCACGCUGUAGGAGCAUUACUAAAUAAUGCUUAUGUUCCUAGGUUCUUCCAUGCUGAUGGCUGUGCUCUAGAGUCAUAUCUCCUGUCGAAGAACAUUUUUAGACAUUAUGAACCAUGAAUAAGUUUAGCUCCAACCCCAGUUAAGCGGACCUGAGCAGCUGAUCAAGGAUCAGCAGAAACUCUGCAGAACGGUGGUCCUCCAGCCCAGGACUGGACAGCAGUGUUAGUGUCUGUCUCAGAAGCUGAAGAAAAAAGGUCACACCUUAUAGGAAAUAAACGCCUCCUAAGUGUACGGAAAUACCUGGAUGAGGAGAUCAGUGACAUAAACC